rnacentral:rRNA from 1 species
UACGAAGGGGGGCUAGCGUUGUUCGGAAUCACUGGGCGUAAAGCGCACGUAGGCGGAUUGUUAAGUCGGGGGUGAAAUCCUGAGGCUCAACCUCAGAACUGCCUUCGAUACUGGCAAUCUCGAGUCCGGAAGAGGUUGGUGGAGCAGCUAGUGUAGAGGUGAAAUUCGUAGAUAUUAGCUAGAACACCGGUGGCGAAGGCGGGUCUCUGGGCAGUAACUGACGCUGAGGAGCGAAAGCGUGGGGAGCAAACAGG